ensembl:lncRNA novel transcript, antisense to CA13
AUCAGCAGCAAAGCUGUAGUUUCACUAAUCCUUUGCUCACCCUGCAAGGAUGAGCGUGGAGAAGAAGAGUGGAGAAGUAACCCACAAUGUAACUUAAUUUCCCAGCGAGAACCUGAACCCUUACUAAAGUCCCCAGUAGUAGUCAGCCAACUGCAAAUUGCUGUGGGAAUAUUUACAGUAACAACUAUUAGGAAACAUGCAGUAUUUUGUUUGCCACGAAGCCAACUUAAUCUUCAGUGUCACAAUGCAAGUUAAGAUUUCCUAAAUAUAUUUUUAAAGAUUUUC